GAUGAACGCUGGCGGCGUGCCUAAUACAUGCAAGUCGAGCGAACAGACGAGGAGCUUGCUCCUCUGACGUUAGCGGCGGACGGGUGAGUAACACGUGGAUAACCUACCUAUAAGACUGGGAUAACUUCGGGAAACCGGAGCUAAUACCGGAUAAUAUAUUGAACCGCAUGGUUCAAUAGUGAAAGACGGUUUUGCUGUCACUUAUAGAUGGAUCCGCGCCGCAUUAGCUAGUUGGUAAGGUAACGGCUUACCAAGGCGACGAUGCGUAGCCGACCUGAGAGGGUGGUCGGCCACACUGGAACUGAGACACGGUCCAGACUCCUACGGGAGGCAGCAGUAGGGAAUCUUCCGCAGUGGGCGAAAGCCUGACGGAGCAACGCCGCGUGAGUGAUGAAGGUCUUCGGAUCGUAAAACUCUGUUAUUAGGGAAGAACAAAUGUGUAAGUAACUAUGCACGUCUUGACGGUACCUAAUCAGAAAGCCACGGCUAACUACGUG
rnacentral:rRNA from 1 species